CCUACGGGUGGCUGCAGUGAGGAAUAUUGGUCAAUGGGCGAGAGCCUGAACCAGCCAAGUCGCGUGAGGGAGUACUGCCCUAUGGGUUGUAAACCUCUUUUGUCGGGGAGCAAAAGCCGGACGUGUCCGGCUGUGAGAGUACCCGAAGAAAAAGCAUCGGCUAACUCCGUGCCAGCAGCCGCGGUAAUACGGAGGAUGCGAGCGUUAUCCGGAUUUAUUGGGUUUAAAGGGUGCGCAGGCGGAUUUUUAAGUCAGCGGUGAAAUCGUGGGGCUCAACCCCAUCCAGCCGUUGAAACUGGGGAUCUUGAGUGUGCGAGAGGUAUGCGGAAUGCGUGGUGUAGCGGUGAAAUGCUUAGAUAUCACGAAGAACCCCGAUUGCGAAGGCAGCUUACUAAACUGUGACUGACAUUGAUGCUCGAAAGUGUGGGUAUCAAACAGGAUUAGAUACCCUUGUAGUC
rnacentral:rRNA from 1 species